UCGGAUGGAACAGAUAAGAGCAGGUUAAUAAAUCCCAGGAGUUGGGUAAUCAGAUAUCAGAAAGUAGGAGAACUAACUGUAAAGAUGAAGCCACACUCAGGUUGGAGGAACAACACCUUAUAUUCCGUAUGGGUAGCCUCCAACCUGAUGGCAUGAACAUUGACUUCUCUAACUUCUGCUAGGCCCUACCUCCCCCUCGUACCCCAUCUGUUACUCUUUUUUAUGCACACAUUCUUUCUCUCACUCUCCUUUUUCUCCCUCUGUCCCUCUGAAUAUACCUCUUGCCCAUCCUCUGGGUCACCCCCCCCCCGUCUUUCUUCCCGGACCUCCUGUCCCAUGAUCCUCUCGUAUCCCCUUUUGCCACUCACCUGUCCAGCUCUCGGCUCUAUCCCUCUCCCUCCUGUCUUCUCCUAUCAUUUUGGAUCUCCCCCUCCCCCUCCAGCUUUCAAAUCCCUUACUCACUCUUCCUUCAGUUAGUCCUGACGAAGGGUCUCGGCCUGAAACGUCGACUGCACCUCUUCCUAUAGAUGCUGCCUGGCCUGCUGCGUUCACCAGCAACUUUGAUGUGUGUUGCUUGAAUUUCCAGCAUCUGCAGAAUUCCUGUUGUUGUCAAGCAGAUUUGAUCACUUCCUUGUUAACACAAUGAAGAUAUUCAUCAUUACUUUGCUGCUUGUCUUAAAAGAUUUCUAGCUUGAUAGUAAAGUCAUUACAUCCCUGGGAGAGGAAGGAGUUUUGAAGAUGGGCUACAGCUGGGAAAAUAUGAAAGACAAGCCCAGGACAGAGGACCCUGGUGAGCUGCUGUCAGUAGCCUAUGCCCCAGUAGGGGUGAUGGCCUGAAGGAGACCACAUUUCUGAAGUCCAUAUUCACCAUGGACAGCAGAAGUCUGUGAGGACUCCACACGCACAGCUCUGGAAGGAUGGAACUCGGAGCUCUGGCUUUACUGAUUGCAUCACGGUGUCACUAACGUUGCCAUUCAGAUUCUCUCUGUGGUUACGUUGUGCUGAGGAAAAACAAUGGUGGCCACAAGAGGAGAGAUUGGAGCGUAGCAUGAUGACAUCAGCUACAAAGCGGGACUUCAAGUCUUAGUACUCUGCUUUUCAGUAGUAUGUAAACAUCUUCCACUGAAGCACUUUGUAAGAACUUAGCAAUGUCAACUCUGUCUGCAUCAGAAAGACUAGAGAGAGACUACAACAUGGCACAGAAUAUGCACUGGCAAAAAUGAAAUGACAUUAAACAAUCUUGAAUCUUGAACUGUCUCGCCGCUCUUGAAAUGAUAAGUGGUUACUGUGCUAGUCACGCAAAAGGCUGAAGCAGUUGCCAACAAACUUGUACUAUUGUGCUUUAGAAAUUCCCUCCCUCAAGCCUUCAUAAUAAACUAACACGGCACCAUUAAUCUGCUCACCAAAUCUAUGGCCAUGUUUGUUGUAAUCUCCCUGGCAACAAAAGCAGCCUGCACACCACCUUGGAGUUUCACUUGUCAGUCAGUUAUCUUUAAUAUUAAGCUAAUUGUGUUUGCAGUACAAUCAUCUUUACAGAGCCUGAGGUCUCCAGUUGUCGGUUGGCCAUCCUAUUUUUCAGGAUGAACCAUCCAGUAGGAAGGAAAUUUGACAGAAGCAGUAUUGGGGUAGCCCAGUUGUGCAGAUUAUUUAACUGUGGCUUCUUAGCUUCCCAGGUUCAAUCAGAUCUCUGACCUCCGGUGCUGUUAGUAAGGAGCUUGUAGAAUCUCCCCAUGACCACCUGGGCUUCCUCCAGCUCCCUCCCAUGUCCUAAAGGUCUGUGGGUAGUCCUAAUAGACCCUGUUGUGUAUGAGAGUGGUAGAAACUGUGAGUUUGUGCUGAAAAUGUGAGGAACCUUCCCAUCAGCCUCACAACUUCUCUGACCUCCUUUUGUCAGACAGAAAGUAUAAGAACAAAGACUGUCAGACUGGGUAACAGCUUCAUCCCCCAGGCUGUGAGACUUCAGAACACCCUGCUACCACCCGGUACACAUUAUUGAUGACAGCACCAGUAGCAUUAUACUGUUGUAUAUUUGAACUAUAUCUCAUAAAUGCACUUUAUGUCAACUUGUACAUCGACAGAAUAUUUUCCUUAUUAUUUGUUAAUAUUGUUUUACGUGCUGUAUGUGAUAUAUGUACUGUGUUUUUCACCUUGGUCCCUAUAGAACGCUGUUUCAUUUUGUUGUAUACGUGUGUAUGGGUGGAUGACAACAACUGAACUUGAAUUUGAAUUCUACUUAAAGGAAGUGGGAUUAGUGUAGAGUUUGUGUAAAUGGGAGCUUGAUGGUCAGCGUGCAGCCAGUGUGCUGAAGGACCUGAACCCCUGCUGUAUGACUCUCUGGAUUUUGCCAAAUUUCCGCCCAAGGCCGAUACAAUUUGAGAGCCAGAUUCUUGGUCAGUAUGGACCAGUAGAGGCGAAGGGCCCGUUUCAGUGCUGCAUAUGACUAUGAGCCUAUCUCUCAUUCAUUAAAUAGGAUUUUAUUUAACAUUCAGGAACAACUACUUGGAAUAUGGUACGUUUUUGGCCCCCUCAUCUAAGAAAGGAUGUGUUGACAUUGGAGAGGGUCCAGAGGAGAUUCACAAGAAUGAUCCUAGGAUUGAAAGGGUUAACAUAUGAGGAGUGUUUGAUGGCUCUGGGCCUGUACUCACUGGAGUUUAGAAGAAUGACAAGGGAUCUUGUUGAAACCUAUUGAAUAGUGAAAGGCCAAGAUAGAGUUGAUGUGGAGAGGAUGUUUCCAAUAGUGGGGGAGUCUAGGAACAGAGGCCACAGCCUCAGAAUAGAAGGACGCCCCUUUAGAAUGGAGAUAAAGAGGAUUUAUUUAUUUAUUGAGAUACAACAUGGAAUAGGCCCUACCGGCACUUCAAGCCAUGCCAUCCAGAUUUAAUCCUAACCCAAUCACAGGACAAUUUACAAUGACCAAUCAACUUACCAGCCAGUACGUCUUUGGACGCCGAGGAAACCAGAGCACCUGGAGAAAUCCCAUGCGGUCAUGGGGAGAAUGUACAAACUCCUUACAGACAGCAGUAGGAAAUGAACCCGGGUCAUUGGUACUGUAAACCAUUGUGCUAACCAUUACACUAUCGUGCCGCCAGAGGCUGGUGAAUCUGUGGAAUUCAUUGCUAUGGAUAGUUGUAGAGGCCAAGUCAUUGGGUGUAUUUAAAGCAGAGGUUGAUAGGUCCUGGAUUCGUAAGGGUGUCAAAAGUUAUGCAGUGAAACCAGGAGACUGGCCUAAUUCUGAUCGUAUGUCUGAUGGUCAGACAGGGUGGAUGUAUAUGAAGGUGUGAAAAAGGAUCCAGUGCUUUCCCGACAUAUCUGAGGAAUAAGCUUUUCUUGGUUUUAAAGUUGAGUCCAAGUAUCGAUUAUAAUGGACAUUUUGAUGACAAGUUCUGUUAUUUGAAGAUAGCGGAGCUUAUCAUCGAAACUUCGGUUAAAAUUGAUAUCUACACCUGGCUGGAAGCCCGAGAAGAGUUUAUUCAUUCUGCACUAGUGUUAGAAAAGCAAUGACUUGCUCUUAAAUAAGUUUUAUACACCAUUUCCAGGAGAGAUGAAGUCAAGGAUGGAUUUACAAAGAAGGAUGCGAAUUUCAAAUUGAAGGGUAGCUGCAGUAGGAACUAAAAUGCAGGAACUAAAAACAGGAGCUGGCAUACAGAUAAAGGCAGAGAGGUCAGGAAAAAGCAGCAGACUGUUGGAUAAAUUCAGAUGUAAAAAGGGUUCAUGGUCCAUCUGGAGGCCAACCAGGAAAUGUGUUUUUUUGCUAUCUGAAUUGCCAUCUACAGUUCUUCAACCUUUUCACAUAUUGUGAGUGGAAGAGAUUAAAAUUGUGUCACUCUUAGCCUUAUGAAAGGAGACUUAAGUGAAUGAAAAGCUGGAAAGUUUUCAAAGAAUUAAUUUCAUUGAAUCAAUUUUCAGAAGUGCAAUUUAAUUCUACUUCCAACCCAUGUAUUUAGUGUUAUCUAUCACAAUGACAAUCUAGGCAAAUUCUUGCAUUAUAUAAAUUUUGGCUCCAUAUACUAUUUAUAUGGCUUAUCAUUCUGGAACAGUGUCCACAGGUCAAAAAUGUCAAAGUAUAAGUACAUAUAUGUCUCCAAAUACUCCCUUGAGAUUCACUUGCAGGCAUUCACAGUAGAACAAAGAAGUACAAUAGAAUCAACGAAAAACUACACACAAAGACUGAAAGACAAUGUGCUAAAGUGCAAACUGUGCAAAUAUUUAAAAAAUGAAUAAUAGUAAUAAUAAAUAAAUAAAUAAAUAAAUAAAUAAAUAAAUAAAUAAAUAAAUAAAUAAUACUGAGAACAUGAAUAGUAGAGUCCUUGAAAGUGAGUCCAUAGGUUGUGUUCAGCGAUCAGUUCAGUGCUGUAGUGAGUGAGGAUGUCCACACUGGUUCAGGAGCCUAAUAGUUGAAGGUGUGAGCCCUGAGGCUCCUGUACCUCCUUUCUGAUGGUAGCAGCAAGAAGAGAGCAUGGUCUGGCUGGUGAGGGUCUUUGAUGAUGGAUGCUGUUUCUUGUGGGGAAGGUGUUGCCUGUGAUGGACUGGGCUGUAUCCAUCACUUUUUGUAGGCUUUUUCAUUCCUGGGUAUUGGUGGUUCCAUACCAGGCCAUGAUACAGCCAGUCAGGAUGCUCACCACAGUGCACCUAUAGAAGUUCUAGUAUUCAGCUUGUUAAAAGGAGUGCUUUGUAUUUUCAACCAUGGUGGCCCUUUAGGGAUUGCCAUUGUUAUGAGAGAAGGAAGAACAGGAAGAACUGCAAUCUUAAGGAGAAUCCAGUGCUGGUAGAAAUUUUUACCAUGCUGAAGUGCCUACAUUUCUCAGUGAAAAACGUACCAAGGCUGUAUUCUUUCUACAGAGACUGACACAGAGCUCCAACUGAAGAUCUUAUAUCCAAGUUCUGGUACACCAUUUCCUGUUGCCAUUAAAGUCACUGCUGCCCUCAAUUUAUUUGCUUUCAACUCUUUCCAGGGUAGUGUAGAAGACAUCACAAACAUCAGUUUCCUUUCCCUUCUUACUUGCAUUAUGAAAACAAAUUCAUUGCAAUCAUUGAAGCCUGAAAUCAGUAGAUAGAAAUGGAUCCAGAGGAUUUCAGGAAUCUAAAAUCUCAGCAACAGUAUCCAUGGCAUCAGAUUAGCUUUUUUCUCUUUAUAUGCAACGGGAUUGUGAUGGCUAACAGAUAUAACCCCGAAGUUCCAAGAGUAUUCCUGCUUUUCUGAGAGCUGCCUUGUGAAAUCCUUUGCACUGUACUCAGUGACUAUACUUCAUUAGAGUUUGAGGAGGUUUGGUAUGUCGCCAAAGACUCUGACAAGUUUCUACAGAUGUAUGGUGGAUUGCAUUCUGACUGGUUCACUGUCUGGUUUGGAGGUGUCGGUGCACAGGGUCAGAUAAAGCUGAAGAGGGUUAUAGACUCAGCCUGUUCCAUCAUGGGCAAAGGCCUCACCAGUAGUGAAGACAGUUUCAAAAAGGGGCACUUCACAGAGACGACGUCUUUCACUAAGGAUCCUCACCAUCCAGGACAUGCCCUCUUCUCAUUACCACCAUCAAGAAGGAUAUACCGGAGCCUGAAGAUGCACACUCCACAAUUUAGGAACAGCUUCUUCCCCUCCACCAUCAGAUUUCUAAAUAGUCCAUGAACCCCUGAACACUGCCUCACAAUUUUCCUCUCUUUUUGCACUUUUUUUUAUAUAUUCGUGUUGUAAUUUAUAGUUUUUUUUACUGUAGUGCACAGCACUGCUACCACAAAACAACAAAUUUCAUGACAUAUGUCAGUGAGAAUAAUGUGAUCCUGAUUUUGAUUUUGAUUCUUUGAUCAUCUAGGGUGCAAAACUUAUUCUUUGCACAGUUUGCGUUUGACUGUUGCCAUACUCACUGACAGAUCAACUUCCCCUUCUACAGUCCUCAUCAGUAAAGCAACAGACUCCUUAAGCAAAGGUUCCUCUAGUCUGCUGGCCUCUGCAAUCUAGCACAUAAAGAUAGUUGCAUUUAAUAGUGGUGUUUUAUGCUGUGUCGUGUGUGCUAUGAAGUGUUACAUUGUGGUUGGAUCUUUGGAAGAGGUUGAAGAUAGAACUGUUGGAGCUAGCACGCGAGGAGGAUCACCACUGGAGGAAGACCACUGACGUUGGGAGUGUAAGAGUUCUUCACAAACAAUUCCCCAAGUUGGAGCAAUUCAGCUGAAGGAUCCCAACUCUCUUUGAUUCCCACUUCUGCCCAACAUCACUUCAAGUUCUUUUGACUGCCAAUAAGUGGUAAUCUCAGGAGGCAAAUGAACAAUAAUGUAUUACAUUCCUAGCAAAUUAUGUAUUCAAACUCCAAAAUGAUUUAUUGUGCAGUUGUAUACUUUCAAAGUAUAAUAAAGCAAUAUUAGAGAUUGUUAAGAGCAGAUAUCUGUGUCCGGAUAUUUUGAAAAUGUGCCAGACUAAUACCAAUUAAGCAGUGCCUUUGGAGUCAUCUUAGGUUUUGGUACCAGGUGUAAACAGUAAAUAAAAGGGCUGUAGAGGGAGUCUUGCCUGGAGAGUUUUUACCUCAACUAGCCACAGGAAUUACAGACCAGUCAGCAAAUUAUAUGUACAGAGGCACAUUAAUUCAAAUCUAAACACAAGGGUUUCUGCAGAUACUGGAAAUCCAGAGUAACACACACAAAAUGCUGGAGGAACUCAGCAAGUCAGGCAGCAUCUAUGGAGAGGAAUAAACAGUUAACAUUUUGAAAAAAAUAUGCAGGCAAGGUAUUGGCCAUUAGACAAAUGAAUAUAUACUAUAGUAGGACUAAGUGAUCCCAACUAAUGGAUUGAAUAAUCGCUGUAAAAUUUGAACAUCAUACUUUAGAACAUACAUAACACAGUUCAAGAUUCUGUAUGGAUGUGAAUUAUAGGUAAGAUGUGAGAGUUGAAUUGUUUAUUACUGUAGACAGGAACUUAUCCGGGCGGCAUGAUAGUGUAGUAGUUAGCACAACGCUUUACAUUUCCAGCGAUCUGGGUUCAUUUCCUGCCAUUACCUGUAAGGGGUUUGUACGUUCUCCUUGUGACCGCGUGGGUUUCUCCGGGUGGUCUGGUUUCCUCCCACAGUCCAAAGACACACUGGUUAGUAGGUCAUUGUAAAUUGUCCUGUGACUAGGGUAGAUGAAAUGGGGGGUUACUGGGUGGCACAGUUCAAAGGGCCAGAAGGGCCUAUUCCCUGGUGUAUCUCAGUAAAUAAAUAAAUAAAUAAAUAAAUAAGGGAAAUUAAUGCGAUGGAACAGGUGGGGGUGCCUGUUUGAAACUAUUUAGCUGCCUUAUCACUGAUCAGUAUAGCUAAAAUAGACCUGAUAGAGGUCUGUAAGCUUAUGAAAGGGACUGAUAGACAGCCAGAGCGUCUUUCCCAGGGUCUAAAUAUCUAAUAGUAGAGGGCAUGAUUUUAGACCAUUAGGCUAAAAGAUAUAGGAGCAGAAUUAGGCCAUUCAGCCCAUUGAGUCUGCUCUGCCAUUCCACCAUGGCUGAUUUAUUAUCCCUCUUAACCCCAAUCCCCUGUAUUCUCCCUGCAACCUUUUGACACCCUGACUAAUCAAGAAUCUAUCAACCUCCACUUUAAAUAUAUCCAAGGUCUUGGCCUCCACAGCCGUCUGUGGCAAUGAUUCCACAGUUUCACCACCCUCUGGCUAAAGAAAUUCAUCCUCAUGUCUGUUCUAAAGUGACAUCCUUCUCUUCUGAGGCUGUGCCGUCCGGUCCUAGACUCUCACAUUAAUAGAAACAUCCUCUCCAUGACCACUGUAUGUUGACCUUUCCAUUUAAGGUGGGAGAGUGCAAGUUCAAGGGAGAUGCGCAGGGCAAGGUUUUCACACAGAGAGUGGUGGGUGCCUGGAACGUACUGAUAGGGAUGGUGGUGGAGGCAAAUAUGAUAGAGAUGUUUAAGAGACUCUCACCUAUGCCGGUGAAUGCACAGAGAAUGGAGGGAUAUGGACAGUGUGUGGACAGAAGGGAUUAGUCUAGUUAAGUAUUUAUUCACUAAUUAGUUCAGUGGGCCAAAGGGUCUGUUUCUGUGCUGUCCUGUUCUAUGUUCAGUGCUCUCUGUACUACACUGUAGAUUACAUAAAAUAUUGACUGCAGCGUAGUGAUUGCACUGCAGAUGACUAAAAUAAUUCUUUACUUCAGUCAGUCUUUUUUUAAUACUUUAUCAACUUCCUGUGCAUCUAAUGUGGUGGUACAAGCAUCGUAUGUCCAUGUGUUCUACCAAAAGAGAUGUCUUAGAUUCAGCAUCUGGCCUGUUCAGUAAUUAUCAGAAUUACUGAGCUAAUUUUUCCACAUUAUCAGAUCCUGUUAUAGCACUAAUAUUUGUUUCACAUCUGUUCCAAUUGCCCCAUAGCAGCUGUUUCCAACAAUAUCCUACAGAGUAACUACGGAAUUACAUAAAAGCAUAACGGGAGCGAGGCAGAGAGACAGAGAUCAGAGAGAGUGAAUGCAAGAGAGGAGAGAGAGGCAGGCUAAAGAGAAAGAGCGGGAGAGAGAGAAAGAGAUAGAUCAGAGAGAGUGAGUGUGAGAGAAAUGAGAGAGUACAAUGGAAAGAGAGAUCAAACCAGGUAAAAAAUAGAGGGAGAAAGAGGGAUUAAGAGGAAUAAAGAAAGAAGGGAUAGAGAAGAGAGAAACAGAGCAGAGGACUCUUCAAUUCUAAAUAAACCAAAACUAGCUACCCAAAUGUCAUUUACAAACUAAAGCCAUUUUCUCGGAUUUCUAAUAACAUUUAGUACAAAUGUAUGUAUUGGAAUAUUCACUGUCACUCAUCCUUGCUCAUACCAAACACCUAGAAAGAGCUCGCAGGAUCAGAGCAAAUGACUCACAACGAUCGUGCAUACAGUCAUUAUCAGUUGAAGCUGGAAACAGUUACUUUCAUUCAUCACUUUUGCUGCAUGCUUGUCCUUUACUCGACAUGUGACAAUUGCCAUUGGAGACGACUGACCAUUAUUUUCCUUCGAAGCCAUGAAUCACCAUCGUAUUGAUUGCUUUGCAAAAGUGGAUAAUUCCGAUGGUGAACGAACGUGGUGGAAUGUAUCAUUCCGACAGCUAAACCUUUUCUUCCAUGAGUCGGCACCUUUGAUAUUAUUGUGAGGGUGUACCACAAUAUUGCUCAAAGUAAUGACCUCCCACUUCCUGCCUCUGGAGGGGAUCCUGUGCCAAAUAUGGUUCGUGGUUAUAUAUUUCUCAGAAUCAUCUGUAUUCAUUUCCUAUCAUCGUUGCUGCUUCGGUCUUGCUGCUAGUUUGAGUUAAGAUAAACAAUGAAUGAGCCCAGUCGACAAUCACAGAAACUUAGCAAGGAUAUUAAAAAACUAUUAGAUGAUCAGGCAAUCUAACACAUUUCGUUUGAAGACUGUAUUCAAUAAAAUUGACAAACUUCACUAACAUCUGCCUCACUGAACAAUAAAAUACACCAACAUACUUUAAACUGGGACUCAGUCAAAUGAGGUUGUUUUUUAAAAUAAUGCCAAAAGAUCAGACAGAUUCAGAGUAGUCUAAGAAGAGAAUUUUAAAACUGAUGGCUGAUUUGACAAUCAGUGGUGGGUUAGGUAUUAAGUGAUACACAAUUAACAAGAUUUGGCAGAUUGUUAACAAGAUUGCAGCAGAUCUGAACAUAGCUUCAAGACUUUUGAAAUGGAGGAGAAAUAUGUGAGGCUCCCCAGGAGAAACCUAGAACAGUCGAAAGUGGAGGUUACCAGAGUAUGCACCAGGAUUUGAGAAGCAACUGAGCGAGAGCAGAAGGCAAUCUUACAGAAGAAUGAUCUAAUUUGAGGGAUGAGGGACUAGAAGCUCAACCUGUGCUUAAGUAACAAUGUGGGGUACAAAGGUUUUGUUCUACCUGAACUGGUAGCCAUGGAGGAUGUUGGUUAUACCUGGCCCUGAGAUGGAUCAAUAUCCUUGUGGGCAGGUUUGCUCGAGCUGUUGGGAAGGGUUUAAACUAAUUUGGCUGAGGGAUGGGAACCAGAGUGAUAGUGCUGAGGCUGGGACAGAUCAUAUUCAACUAAGUGCAAUGUGUAGUGAGACUGUAAGGAUAGACUGGCAGAUGAUAGGGCAAAAUUGCAGUCAGUGGGAUGAAUUAAAGUGUAACAGGGGGACAAAAGUGAAAAGGGUGAGGAGUACAGGACUGAAGGUAUUAUACUGUAUUUGAAUGCACUCAGUAUACGGAAUAAGGUAGAUGAUCUUGUAGCACAGUUACAGUUUGGCAGGUAUGUUGUUGUGGGCAUUUCCAAGCUGUGGCUGAAAGAAGAUCAGAGUUAGGAGCUUAACAUUUAAGGAUACACAUUGUAUCAAUAGGACAGGCAGGUAGGCAGAGGAGUGGGGUGGCUCCAUUGUUAAAAAAUGAAAUUAAAUCCUUAGGAAGAGGUGACAUAGGAUUAGAAGAUGGCCUUGUGGAUAGAGUUAAGAAAUUUCAAGGGUAAAAAGACAUUGAUGGAAGUUAUAUAUAGGCCUCUGGACAGAAGCCAGGAUGUGGGCUACAAAUUACAAUGGGAAAAUUCAUGUCAAAUGGGCAAUGUUAAAGUACUCAUGGGGUAUUUCAAUAUGAAGUUAGAUGGGAAGAUUUUGAUGGCGUUGGAUCCCAAGAGAGAGAAUCUUUGGAAUGUCUACAAGAUGGCUUUUUAGAAUAGCUUCUGGUUGAGCCCACCAGGGGAACACUAAUUCUGGAUUGAGGGUUAUGUAAUGAACCAGAUUUGAUUAGGGAGCUGAAGGUAAAGGAACCCUUAAGAGACAGUGAGCAUAAUAUGAUAGAAGUCACCUACUAGUUUGAGAGGGAGAAGAUAAAGUCACAUGUAUCAGUAGAACAAUGGAGAAAAGGGAAGUACGGAUGCAUCAGAGAGGAGCUAGCCAAAGCUGACUGGAAGGGGACGCAAGCAGGGAUGAUAGCAGAACAACAAUGGCUGAAGUUUCUGGGAGCAAUUUGGAAGAUGCACAUCCAAAAGAAUAAGUAGUAUUCUAAAGGGAAGAUGAGGCAACUGCGGCUGACAAGGGAAGUUAAAGACAGCAUAAAAGGAAAAGAGAGGACAUAACUCACCAUAACUAGAGAGAAGGUUCUUGGGAAACUGAAAGUUCUGAAGGUAGAUAAGUCACCUGGACCAAAUGGCGUACACCCCAAGCUUUUGAAAGAGGUGGCUGAAGAGAUCAUGGAGGUGUUUGUAAUGAUCCUUCAUGAAUCACUAGAUUCUGGUUCUGGAAGUCUGGAAAAUUAUAAAUGUCACUCCACUCUUCAAGAAGGGAGAGAGGCAGAAGAAAGGAAACUACAGGCCAGUUAGUCUGACCUCAGUGGUUGGGAAGGUGUUGGAGUUGAUUGUUAAGGAUGAGGUCUCAGGGUACUUGGAGACACAUGAUAAAAUAGGCCAUAGUCAACAAGAUCUCCUCAAGAGAAAACCUUGCCUCACAAAGCUGUUGGAAUUCUUUGAAGAAAUAACAAGCAGCAUAGACAAAGGAGAAUUAGUUGAUGUUGUGCACUUGGAUUUUCAGAAGGCCUUUGACAAGGUGCCACACAUGAGGCUCCUUAACAAGUUACAAGCCCAUGGUAUAACAGGAAUGAUUCUAGCAUGGAUAAAGCAGUGGCAGAUUGGCAGCAGACAAAGAGUGGGAAUAAAGGGAGGCUUUUCUGGUUGGCUGCCUGUGACUAGUGGUGUUUCACAGUAGUCUAUGUUGGGACCAAUUCUUUUUACAUUGUAUGUCAAUGAUUUGGAUGAUGGAAUUGAGCACAGUCGACAUUUUGAGCCAAAACCUUUUGUCCUGCUGAAGGGUCUCGGGCCAAAACGUCGACUGUACUCUUUUCUAUCGUUGCUGCCCAUCCUGCUGAUUUUCACCAGCAUUUUGUGUGUGUUGGUUGGAUUUCCCGCAUCUGCGGAUUUUCUCUUAUUUGUGGAUGAUGGAAUUGAUGGCUUUGUGGCAAAGUUUGCAGACGAUACGAAGAUAGGUGAAGGGGCAGGUAGUUUUGAGGACGUUUUGCAGAAGGACUUAGGUAGUUUAGGAGAAUGGGCAAAGAAAUGGCGGAUGGAAUACAGUGUCGGGAAUUGUAUGUCAUGCACUUUGCUAGAAGAAAUGAAAGGGUUGACUAUUUUCUAAAUGGAGAGAAAAUACAAAAAACUGAGGUGCAAAGGGAUGUGGGAGUCCUUGUGCAGGGUUCCCUAAAGGUUAAUUUGCAGGUUGAGUCUGUGAUGAGGAAAGCAAAUGCAAUGUUGCAUUCAUUUCAAGAAGACGAGAAUGCAAAAGCAAGGAUGCAAUGCUGAGGUUUUAUACAGCACUGGUGAGGCCUCACUUAGAAUAUUGUGAACAGGUUUGGGCCCCUUAUCUUAGAAAGGAUAUGUUGAGAGGGUUCAAAGAAGGUUCACAAAAAUGACUCCAGGAUUGAACGGCUUGUCAUAUGAGCGAUGUUUGAUGGCUCUGGGCCUGUAUUCACUGGAAUUCAGAAGAAUGAGGGGUGACCUCAUUGAAACCUAUCGAAUGGUGAAAGGCCUCAAUAGAGUGGAUGUGGAGAGGAUGUUUCCUAUGGUGGGAGAGUGUAAGACCAGAGGGUACAGUCUCAGAAUAGAGGAAAAGGCAAUUCUGGAUUAGGUGUUGUGUAAUGAACCAGAUUUGAUUAGGGAGCUUAA